GACGAACGCUGGCGGCGUGCUUAACACAUGCAAGUCGAACGGUAAGGCCCUUCGGGGUACACGAGUGGCGAACGGGUGAGUAACACGUGGGUGAUCUGCCCUGCACUUCGGGAUAAGCCUGGGAAACUGGGUCUAAUACCGGAUAGGACCACUGCCUGCAUGGGUGGUGGUGGAAAGCUUUCGCGGUGUGGGAUGGGCCCGCGGCCUAUCAGCUUGUUGGUGGGGUGAUGGCCUACCAAGGCGACGACGGGUAGCCGGCCUGAGAGGGUGACCGGCCACACUGGGACUGAGAUACGGCCCAGACUCCUACGGGAGGAAGCAGUGGGGAAUAUUGCACAAUGGGCGCAAGCCUGAUGCAGCGACGCCGCGUGAGGGAUGACGGCCUUCGGGUUGUAAACCUCUUUCAGCACCGACGAAGCGCAAGUGACGGUAGGUGCAGAAGAAGGACCGGCCAACUACGUGCCAGCAGCCGCAGUAA
rnacentral:rRNA from 1 species